rnacentral:misc_RNA from 1 species
UCCUGCCCAGUGACAUAGUUCAACGGCCGCGGUAUCCUAACCGUGCAAAGGUAGCAUAAUCACUUGCCUAUUAAUUGUAGGCUAGAAUGAAAGGAUAAACGAAAUAAAAGCUGUCUCUAUAUAUAAAGUAAAAAUUAAUAUCUAACUGAAGAGUGUUAGAUAUAAUCGAAGGACAAGAAGACCCUAUAGAGCUUUAUCUAACAAAGACCCAAAAAUCUUUUACAGGAUUCGGUUGGGGCGACCAAGGAUAUACAUAAUCAUCCUAUAUAAAAAGAUUUAUAAAUCAUAACUCUGACCCUUAAUAAAGAACACAAAAACAAGCUACCUUAGGGAUAACAGACUAAUCCUGCUUGAGAGUUCUUAUCUAAAGCAGGGAUUGGCACCUCGAUGUUGGCUUAGGGUAACUAUAUGAUGCAAAAAUCAUAUAAAGAUGGUUUGUUCAACCAAUAAAUCCCUACAUGAGCUGAGUUCAGACCGGCGUAAGCCAGGUUAGUUUCUAUCCACGAUAACCAUAAUCUAUUUCUAGUACGAAAGGACCGGAAUAAGAAUAAUUAUUAAAUUUAAUGAAUUACUAUAAUUUUAAUUAUAAAUUUAAUUUACUAAAAACUAUAAGUGUUUUGGCAGAAUAGUGCCACUGAUUUAGGAUCAGUUUAUGGAUUAAACCACUCACUAAUGCAACUUAGUUUAUUUAGAAUAAUCAACUUGCACUUGAUAGGAGAAAAUUUCAGUAGCGAUUUGAUGUUUUGGAAACAACAGACCUUGAAAGUCUGCUAAAGGUGUUCGAAUCAUCUUCAAACCUGACAAGAU